rnacentral:tRNA from 1 species
AGGAAGGUAGCUCAGCCAGGUAGAGCAGCGACUAGUGCGCGGGUCGUCGGUUCGAAUCCGACCCUUUCUA